CAUCCCUGGCACAAAGCAAUCUUGGUGUCUCUGCUCGAUGACUCAUAAAGAGUGCAAUCACAUCUAUUUUGAAGAGCAAUGUUGUUUUUUAACUGUGUCGAGAGCUUCCAGCUUCCUCGGAGUUUUUCCUGCCUUUCGCUUCCACCCCGCUUUCCCUGCGGCCGCAGCUCUCGGCGUGCGGGUGGCGGGAGGCCGACGGCGCUGCUGCAGCUCCACUGAGCCGUGGCUCAGAGGGGAGCAGAGCCCGGAGCCGCCGUCCUCAACCAUCGUGCCGGCACCCACGGUGCUGGGGUAGGGCACAGGCAUCUGCCCGGUGCCAUGUGCGGGGCUUGAUGCCCUCAGAGACCCCACGGAGCUCACCAGCAGCUGGGGCAGGGACAGCAGGGACCCAGUGGAUGCCCAGAGCUGUGGCAGGCACUUGGAGGGGAGCCCUGGGGUCAGGUCUUGGGGGUCUGGGCACAGCCCCCCUCACGUCCCACCACCCUCCUGUGAACCCCCCAACGGGGUGCUCGCUGCUGCUGCACCCAAACUGUUUGGUGGCCAAAGCAGCUUGCUGAAAUCAGUGCUGUUACACCCAAAUAUUUUCUGGCUGCGGUCUCUGCUCCUCCUGGGUUAUUUGGCGCAGCUGGAGCUCCUUCUCCACCCUCCAACAGCAUCAGCUGCAGCUUCUUAUCAGCGCUGGGCACAAUCCAGCCUCUAGCUAACUGAAGGGUUGCUGCUGGCACUGGUGGAGGAAGCCUUUGCCUUUUUAUUUCCACCUUGCGUUGCUGUGUGCAGGAGAUGCUGGUGUGGUUGGGGCAGCAGCAGAGCAGAUGCUCAGCAGGACCAGCCCGGAGCCACUCCUGUGAGCCCGCUGGAUGUGGUGACACAUCUGUGGGGAAGAGGGAAAAUCCAGCUCCAGACCUGAGACAGAGCUGAGAAGUGUAAUUUCCCUGCAAAGCUGAGAGGAAACCUCCAUCCAUUCCUGAAACUCAGAGUGGUCUCCCUGCAAUGGAAGAGGCUGAAUCAUGUAUCUGGAACCUAUAGAGCUUGUAUUUCACUUGACCUUAUUCCAGCUCAUCAUGACAAGGCAUCUCCACUGAGACCACAUGUAACACCCUGUCUGACAAGGAGGUGACAGCAGAAAUGGCUCUGUGAGGGCGUACAGCUGCAGGUGACGUGGCACAGAUCUCCAGCUCUCCCCUGACACGGCGCCACUCACUCUGUGCUGCCACAAGAAAACUUUCAACUUUCCAUCCCAAACUGAAAACCAAAGAUGAUGAGGGAGCCUGAACACAACGUGGGAUUGGCUGAUGUGUCACCUUAGCUGCAGUAAUGUUCCAGCACCUACAGCUGAUCACUGUCAGCAUCAACUGUUAGUGCUUAACAAUAAUAUUGUAAUUAUUUUCAUGGCUAUUGCGGUUUCCACAUCACCUUGAGAAUAAACGUAGUGCUCUCACUGAGACUUGCUAGGCAGAGAGCUCCCGUCUGCUCGUGGAAGAUAUUGCAAAAUAAACAUUUCACGUGAAUAUUUAGAAAUUGGCUGCAACAGCCUGGGUCACCAAAACACUGAGGCCAAGACUCUUCCUGCAAAGAAGUCAGGAAACGUGGGGCGAGGGCUCCCGCAGCAGCGCCAGCUCUGCCCCCUCGCGGGUAUUGCUUACGGGGAGGUUGUCAGCGUGCAUCGGCCUGCGCCUCUCAGAGCUUGCUGCAGCCCUGCGCGUCGCGCUGGCUUUGGCACCGUCCUGCAGCAGAUGUUUGCUGGGGCUCCGACUGCUGCUGCUCAGCACCGCCGGCUGUUUUUACUUUGAGGUACAGGAGGGAAUACGCUUUCCCGAACUGAUCAGCGACUGCAGGGAUUUGGUAUCCCUGGAAAGGCUGACAGACGUUGAGCUGAGACCCAGCUGCGGCACUGUUGUGCCCCCUCACGCCCAAGGGACACCCUGGGGACAGCGGUGUGGCCCCGCUGCUGAGGGGGGCAACCAGCGUGCAGACGGCGAGGGGCUUCUGGGCAGCACAGGCUGGGGCUGGGACUCGAAGGCCUAAUUAGAAGCGAGCGGGGUUACUCGUGGUUUCCUACGCAUCCCAACGCCGAUGCCUUUAGGGCUUCUCUUGUUCAAAAUCCCAAGCCAGAGGUCCUGCGGCACAUGCAAAGCCAGCUCAUAAACAGAGGUCUGGGUGAGGUCAGGUUCUCACAGCUUUCUGAGGGGGCAGGGAGGGAAAAAAAUAAAAUAAAAUCCAUGGCUGCUAAACCGGGAGGAGGGAGCUGGAAACCUCUGCUCCCUGCUGGGCGGUGGGGUGAGCUGGUCCAUGAGGACUGCCUCAGCCGGGGGAGGCCGAGUUUGCCCUUUGCUAUUCACCUCCCUGCUCGCUUCGGCUUGUGCGUGUGCGAAUUGUGCUGAGGGUAUCACUCGCCUGCUUGGGGCUGCCGAGCGUCUAAGGAAAUGUUUUUGUUUAUGCAGGGCUGCCAGAUUUCCUAUGCUUCUUGGCACAGGGUCACAGCUUUCGUGCCUCCUUGUCUGUCUUUAUUAACACCAAUUUCUUUUUAUCACUGCGCAGUGCUGUGGAGUUUCUCAGGGGUUUUACGUUCCAACCAGACCAUAUGUAAAUUCUCAGCAAUGCUACCACCGAUGCCAGAAACGGACGCUUCUUCAGUCAGAUGCUGUUUCUGGUUAAGGAAUCCAUCAACAUGAGCCAGGCCCAUGGUUUUUAAGGACAGUUGUUUAUUCCUGUACCCAGAUCUGGGACUCUUAAGCUGUCUAGUAACUGUUGCAGCUGCUUCCUCUUUAAUCCCCCAAAAGCAUGAAGCAAACCUGGGGAAGGGGUGCCAGAAGAGGGGUGCAAGGACAAGGUUCCCAUCCAGGGGCAGCUGUAGCAUCUUGUCAGUCAGCAACCAGUGGUUUAAGCACUGCAGCACUUGGAUGCUCCUUUCCCAGCAUAUGGCAUGAGCACACCCACAGUGAAAACAAUGCAGGCCACAUCUCAUCUCCAACACAAGGCGUUUAUGCGGAGGCUGCAUCAUGGCACGGCUCCUCCGGCCCUCUCAGCUCCAGCACUCUGAGGGACCUCGCUGCACUCACUGAUGAGGGGCCUUCAGUCUUCGAAGUCAUUAUAUGUGCUGGAUACACUUUAAGAAACACUUAGGCAUCAAGUGCCUUAUGCUGACCUCCUCUGAGACUUUGCUGACUUAAUUAAUUGGGGAAAGCCUUUGCAAAAUAAAUAGAGAUAAGCUUUGGCAAGCCUCCAGACCCGGAGCGGGAUGAAUAGCUAACCUUGCGGUCGCUGCUGCUCGCAUCUGCAGGUCGAUCUGCAGGAGCCCGCUGUGUGGGACCACUAAUGCCUGAUCCUGAGGUGUGAUUCGUACUUGCUGCCUAAUUUGGAGGCAAGCCUAAGCCUCCUGCAGAAGGCUAAGGGAAACUAACCCUAAUUUAGGGGUUCUGAUCUGAAGGUGCUGUUGAUGGAGGAGCUCACUAACUACAGCAGGGCCUGUGUUAGGCCUUGUUCCUGUUAGCCCAGGCCCAGCUCAGAGGCAACAUCAGCAGCUGCUUUCCAUGAGCUUCCAGGGGGUGCCCUCAGCCUCUGUGCUCAGUAAAGCAAGCUUUACAGGAGUUCGAUGGUGCCCCCAGCACAAGUACAGACUAUUCCAACUGCACUUAUGGUUCGGCGCAUGGCCAUGUCUCCUCAAGGCGCUGCGCUGAUAUAAAACGUCAGGGCAGAUCCAGCACCACUCCCACAUGUGGAGAUCAGGUCAACCAAAGGAGGACAUGUGCACUCAACUACUGGGUGCAGAAAAAGCAGGGGAAGCAGGGACCUGGCAGGGCACAGUGUGUGCAGGUGUCCUGCCAGCACUGCAGCGCCCUAACUUACAGAUGCAGCUGACAGCAACCUAACCCCCAAAGCAAACUGACCGGUCAGUGGCGUGCUCUGGGUAUGAGCCUGAGGGCCCUCACGGCCUGAUGUGCAGCACACCACUCCUGUCUGAACCCAGUGCCGCCACACGUGGGAGGUGCUCUGCUCCAGACGGUGCUGGAGAGUCACUCGCCCCGCACAGCAUGCAGUCAGCAGCAAAAUACGGCUUCUGUUUUGUGUCAGACAAGAAGCGAUACUCAGUGCAGUCAGAGCUCUCCGACCCUGUCCGAUUUGAUUGAUUUUGUCCAAUUGUUUCUUUGCUCGGUAUCAACCUGUUUGUUCUGUCAGUGAUUACCUCCCUUUGCCAUGCCUUCAGUA